rnacentral:rRNA from 1 species
GACGAACGCUGGCGGCGUGCCUAACACAUGCAAGUCGAGCGAAUGAAGUUCCUUCGGGAAUGGAUUUAGCGGCGGACGGGUGAGUAACACGUGGGCAACCUGCCUCAUAGAGGGGAAUAGCCUUCCGAAAGGGAGAUUAAUACCGCAUAAGAUUGUAGUAUCGCAUGAUACAGCAAUUAAAGGAGCAAUCCGCUAUGAGAUGGGCCCGCGGCGCAUUAGCUAGUUGGUGAGGUAACGGCUCACCAAGGCGAGGAUGCGGAGCCGACCGGGGAGGGGGGUCGGCAACAUGGGGAUUGAGACACGGCCCAGACCCCUACGGAGGGCAGCAGGGGGGAAAAUUGCACAAGGGGGGAAACCCGGAAGCGGCAACGCCGCGGGGGUGAUGACGGCCUUGGGGUUGUAAAGCUCUGUCUUCAGGGACGAUAAGGGCGGUACCGGAGGAGGAAGCCACGGCAAACUACGU